rnacentral:lncRNA from 1 species
CUCAUAAAUAAAACUCAUAAAUGAACCCUUCCCCCAAGUAAUUCCUAAUGAUUCUUGACAAUAGCCGUGGAUUCCAUGCUUACCAUGUACAUUCAAAGGGACUUUAAGAAUAAGUUGAUCAAGUAUUGGGGUAUAUUAAGAAUCAUUUAGCCUUGACGGAUUUAGAAGAAUAGUACGAUUCAACUAAAGAAAAUUCAUGAAGAUGCCAAUAAUUAUAAGAAAAAGGGAAAAAGGAUCUUGAAAACUCUAGUAUGAUAAGGAACCACAAAUAACAUCUGUUACUUCAAAAACCAUCACACCCAUUUAGUUUUGUACACACCUAUCCUGGAGGAUGUGAAUAUGAAACAGAAUAGUAAAAGUAAACCGCUGUAUUGGUGAACUUUCCUAUAUGAAUACGAACAGCCACAGUAGAUUAAAACCCUAAGCCCUUACGAAUGAUGUCUAUGUUGGUGAUACUUAGAGGGUUUAUUAAAGAUUUAAGAUAAUAUACUCCAAAUAAUCAAAUAUUGAAUUUCAAAAAUUAGGAAACAAUAGCUUAAAGUAGAC